UAGGGAAUAUUAGAAAUGGACGAAAGUCUGAUCUAGCGACACCGCGUGUGCGAUGAAGGCCUUCGGGUUGUAAAGCACUUUUUGGAAGGAAUAGGAAGGAAGGUACUUCCAGAAUAAGUCUCGGCUAACUACGUGCCAGCAGCCGCGGUAACACGUAGGAGGCAAACGUUAUCCGGAUUUACUGGGCGUAAAGCGCGUGUAGGUGGUUCUGUAAGUAGGGCGUGAAAGCUCCCGGCUCAACUGGGAGAGGCCGUUCUAAACUGCAGAGCUAGAGGAUGGUAGAGGGAGGUGGAAUUCCAGGUGUAGCGGUGGAAUGCGCAGAUAUCUGGAGGAACACCAGUGGCGAAGGCGGCCUCCUGGACCAUUCCUGACACUCAGACGCGAAAGCUAGGGUAGCAAACGG
rnacentral:rRNA from 2 species